UAGAGCCCUAAUUCAGCACAAACGGGCUGACAGGCCAGUGCUGGGGGAAAAGAUUAACCUAUUCCAAAUUUUAUAGAUCAGGGUGAGACAGGGCUUGUUCUGGGACAGGGCCACCCUCUCAUUACAGGCCUUCGGAGACAGCAAAACCUAAACAGUUUAUGCCACAUCUCAAAGAAAAUUGCUUUAUCCCUUCACCUCUAAGUGGAUUCAGACGUUGCCAGAUGACUUGAGAGUGCUUUGGGGUCACAUAUGUGGGUGCUAAUAAGCACAGCAAGCAGACAAGCUGUUGAAGGAGUCAUUGCCUUUCCCCCACCACAGAAAUAGACUUUGGAUUACAAGGCCCUGCACCUUUCCUGGGUGGUCUUCACGAACCCAGCUGGGAUGCCAUGAAGACAAGCCUCCCUUGGCUCAGGAAAGGCCCAAACAUCCUUCACCAUUACAGUGAAAACAAAAGUCUGCCCAAUCCACACUCAGAUGGAGUAGUAGACAUCAGGCUCAGAGCAGCAAAAACAGCAUCUCUUUACCCAGACCCCUGAUAAAUGGUGGAAUUCAUUGCCAUGAGUUUGACAGAUACUGAAAGUUUACAUGGAUACAGAUGAGAUCAGAAAAGAGGGAGAGGAGGAAGGGAUCAAUAUUGAUACCAGAGCAUUCAAGAGGCAGAGACAAAGGCAGAGAAACUGAGCCAGAGAUUAAGAAGUUAAGUGACUUGCCCAAGGCCAUGAAGAGAAGCAAAGUGAGAAUAAGGACUAACAAGCAGGAAUUCCCAGCAUCCCUGCAGGCUACAAGGCCCUUUCCUAUCCACCGUUUCCACAAUUCCCAAAUCAGUUCCACUUGAUUCCAAUGGCUUCAGAAGAGAUAAUCUGAUAAAGAGACCUGCCUGACAGAGAAUACAU